rnacentral:tmRNA from 1 species
GGGGAUGCCAGGCAUCGACGGUUUGACCCAUAUAUUUGUGCAAUGUCGUGAGGCGGAGGUGGCUCACGUAAAUCAUCCAUCCGCCGAACUUUCGCAUUCGGAUACAGUACGAGGCGUGCAAAGAAAAUAAUGUGAGUGGGACACAAGGUCCAGUGAUCAUUAUUUUACUGAAGUACAACGAAGUAAUGUGUCGAAUGCGGAAGUUCGGAAUGUAUAGAUGCAAACAAAUCUGUACCAAGUCCUUACGCUAACGCGUUUGGAUUCGCACCCGCUUUUGCUUAAAUUUUAAGCCAGCCGAUGCGAUGCUCUACUGUCCGAGGUUUCAUAAGUCAGUUUGAGUAGAAUAGCCAUGAAACUCUGUUCCACUAGCCUGUUCAGCUAGUGCCGCGAGAUUGUUAGAACUAGAUUAAUGUCUUUUUGUUUAACUUCUCAUUCAUUAAUCGAACCCUCAAGUUAAACUAUGCAUUGUAGAAGCACUUAUAUGCUCACUCUCGGACGGGGUUUCGAUUACCCCCAUCUCCACAG